CCGUGGGCACCGCCGGUACCGGGCGCUCGUUUCUUCACCGGGGUUCAUGCCCUGCUGCCGGCGUUCUGAGGCUCCCCGGCGCUUUCCUCUCUUCUCUAGGGCCCAUCUGGGCUCUGCCGCAUGUUCCCCACCCGGAGGCCGCCUCUCAGGGUGCGAGGGCUGUGGUGGGCUCCCUCCUCGCUGCUCCCACAAGGGGUCUCCGGCCACAAAGAAGCCCCCUCGAGCAGCCUUUGUGGCGGUGCUCAGCAAGGCCUAGGGUAAGGAGACAGAGCUGCGCUGUCCCCAGGCAAAAGCUGGAGUUCUUCCCCCCUCAGUUGUGCAGCACAGCUCACGGAGGGGUUAGGGUUAUUGAUUCCAGCUCAGAAGUGCAUCACUUAAGAGGUUUCAGCUGCUUGCUGGGACCUGUGGUGAGAGCAGGUGUUCCAAGCAUCAGGUAGUCCAAACAACUGAAAACCUUUCUGUUUAAAGCUGGGGUUUAAAUAUUAAUUGCAAACAUCAUCAAAAAAUACGUAAGAAAACAAAGGGAUUUCUGCUUCCUUACAGAAGUAGCUUUGUGGCUAUUUAUUUGGAACUGAUAGCUCAAAUCCCACUUAAAAAUGAAAUGACAAGCAGAUUGGGCCUGUCUUCUGUGGCUUGUUCAAACAGAGCAACACAAGAAGCAAAUGAAUAGCAGCAAUUUAAAACGUCUUUUGAAGCUAACAGAUUGCUAGACUGCCCUGACAGACUAUGCAAUGGGAAACUGUCAAUACAAUCACUAUAAUUCUACAGUGGGGUGGUUCUGUGCUGCCAGCUCUUAGAACUCAAACAUUCUGAUUUUCCCUUUCAGUGUAUGGAGUAACAGCUGUGCAAGUUUCUUCACCUAGAGCCAAAUAAACAACUGGAUUGCACCAGGCAAGUAAGGUGCAAGUGAUGGUGAAAAAGCAGAUUAAAAUCAGUAGUCUUGACUAAUUAGCAAAAUUAUGUAGAAUGUCCCAUCUCUCCCCCCCCUUCCUUUUAAUACUCUUAGGUAAUAAAAUAAGCACAGAAAUGUCACCAUCAGUCAAAGAAACCUGGACUGGUACCGGAAAAUACCUGGAAGCAUGAAAAAAAUAAAAUCCAUGUUUCCUAGUAGGACUCAGGGCAGUAACUCGUGCAUGCCGCUAGAUGUCCUGUCAGCAUCAAGCCUUGUAGUGCACGUAGCUGCAUCACCCAGACGGUUUUGGCAUGACUGAUAGUGCCAUCACAACACAGAACCUGCAUUUCUGGCCUUUAUCUUUCAGGAACUGGUGAAGCAGUUCUAUCUUCUGGCAUGGACAGGUUUCCCUGCCCGCGCUGGUGUAACAGGUUUGCCUUGUUCCCCUCCCAGCUCUUUGUGCAAAAGGAAAUUCCACAGCGAAUUUACCUCAGAUGAUACUAGCGCUUUCUGUUUGGUCUCUUACCUUCUUUUUACUCACAUAGUUACGGAUUAAGCUCUAAAGUCGUGAUGUAACUGUGUUGUCUGGCUUUGCAACGUGUUCUGGGUGGACGUGGCUCUGAGGAUAGAGGGCUUUGGUGCCCCUUCUCCAAAAGCCAUGCACUGUUCCUUGGAACACUGUGGUUGUGCUUUAGGCAGUGUGGCAGGCUCAGACAUUUAAAUGUGUUGUUAGCAGCAGGAAGGAGCACUCUGAAAUGAGCUGAACAGCGUUGUCUCUUAGUUGUUAUGAAGUCUGCUCUUAAAAGUAAUAACUUCUAAUGAUGAACAAAAGCAUUGCCUGUUCCCCGUCUCUCUUCAAAGGCAGCUGCGUGAAGAGCAGCAUUCUACUCGGGUUCAAAUCGGUUGAGCCAGGUUAAAAAUACAUACAGUUCUGUUAUUAACAUAA